rnacentral:rRNA from 6 species
AAUGACUCUCGGCAACGGAUAUCUCGGCUCUCGCAUCGAUGAAGAACGUAGCGAAAUACGAUACUUGGUGUGAAUUGCAGAAUCCCGUGAACCAUCGAGUUUUUGAACGCAAGUUGCGCCCGAAGCCAUUAGGCUAAGGGCACGUCUGCCUGGGCGUCACGC